UACGAAGGGGGCUAGCGUUGUUCGGAAUCACUGGGCGUAAAGGGCGCGUAGGCGGUGUGUCAAGUCAGGCGUGAAAGCCCCGGGCUCAACCUGGGAACUGCGCUUGAGACUGGCACGCUCGAGUCCGGGAGAGGAUGGUGGAAUUCCCAGUGUAGAGGUGAAAUUCGUAGAUAUUAGGAAGAACACCGAUGGCGAAGGCAGCCAUCUGGACCGGCACUGACGCUGAGGCGCGAAAGCGUGGGGAGCAAACAGG
rnacentral:rRNA from 1 species